AAACAGCCCAACGUAAAAGGUUUGAAUGCACCUUUUGCCUGCCUCCCCUCUGCCAAGCCCAGCCCUACCUAUGGCAGAGUCGGCAGUUCCACAUCGACAAUGAGAACUAGGUCGUCUUGAUCCUGAGACACAAGCGAUAUAUGUACCUGUGCCAUUGUGCCCUAUGUCAGAUUCUAGGCAGCAUACUGAUCAUUGUUCUGAACACUAACUGCUUUGUGCAUUCUCACUUUAUCUUUUGGUGUCAUUCUCGAUUUGUGAAGAACACUUGCUGGUUCUGGUGUUUGACAAAUUUGAUCAUUUUUGGUUGCACUUUUUAAAUUUUGAGCACAUUUUCCCUUUGUUUUAUUUCAAACGAAGUAAAGGAAAUAAGGUGUUUUCUAAAUUUGCGGCAAGCGAAUGGCGAAUUAAAUACAUUGACUGCCUUGAGGAAAGGGUCACGUGAAUACAAUUAUCUGUCUAAAAAACAGUCAAUCUUGGACGUGUUCUAAACUAUGGGAAUCAGAUGGUAAGAAAGAUGCAGGGAUGUGAUAUGCAAGUAGCAACGGUGAUUUAAGGAAAUGUAAUAUAACAUUUACAGCUUAUGCUCCUCUUUGCUUCUGCAAGAUUAGACAUGCUGACCUUAUUGUUCAGCUUGGGUUGUUUAUGGCUAAUUUAAGGGAUCGUGUUGAAUUGCCCAAUUCCAGCGUGAAAUGAAAGUCAGCUUGUACUUGCCAUAGGAAGUUCUCAGCUGACAGUGCACUUCAACCACAGGGCGCACAUGAUCUAUCCAAGUUAAUUGCUUUCUUGUGAUGUUGAUGUCAUAUUUGCACACUACUUGACUAGGAAAUUAUUCCAAGUAUCUGUUCCCUAUUGACCGUGAUGUUGUCAGCAGGAUCAUUGUACCCUUUGCAAACUGAUUAUUGCCAUUUCUAUAAACAGCAGAGCAGAUAUAGGCCAUUCAGCCCUUCAUUCCCAUCCUGCCAUUUUACCUCAUUUUUCGCAGUUGGAGGAAUCCUCAUUUCUGCAUUUGCCCUAUAAAGCCUCCGUGAUUUUUAUUUAAUUGAAUUAUUUCUGUGUCAUUAUCUCGGCAGCACAGAACUGGCUUGCUUAGUCUCUCCUUGCGAGGACAAUCCCUCUCUUCCUCCCUCCCGGCCCGGAAUCGCUGGUGAACUUCCUUACAGCUCUCUAGUUUUGUCCACCUCUCCACCACCACAAUCAGUCUGAUGAAAGGUCCCCGCCUGAACCAUCACUCAAGAAUGCUGCCUGACCCGCUGAGUUACUCUAGCACUUUGUCUUUGUUUGUAAACCAGCAUCUGCAGUUCCUUGUUUAAUCAUUCUGGUAAACCUCUGCACCCUUUACAAAGCUUCCACAUCCUACCCGUAAUGGGGCGACCAGAACUGCACACAAUACUCCAAAUGCGGUCUUACCAAAGUGCUAUAAAGUUGUAUCAUGACAUCUUGACUCGCUGUCUUCCUGUAUUGUCACUUUCAGGGAGUUAUGGACUUAAGUAAGAAGUCUUGCUGCAACUGUGCAAACCAGCAGUGAGACAAUAGGUAAAGUACUGUGAACAAUUUAAUCCCUCUUUUUAAAGAAAGUGAUAUAGGUAUAGGAGUCAAGACUGUUUAAUUGUCAUGUGUACCAGGAUUGGAACAGUGACAUUCUUACUACCUGCAUCUUUAUAGGCACAUGGAUGCAAUAACACAACAAAUAAAUAGACAAUACAUUUUCAGUUUUUCUUGACAAACCAGACUGUGAUAGUGCAAACCAAAGGAUGUCAUGCAAACUGUAGUAGUGCAGAGUCUGCAGUGGUUUAGUCCUGAGAUGGGGAUUGUAGUUAGUGUUGUGCAGGCUGUUUCAGAGUCUAUGGAUGAUGUGAAGGAGGUGUUCUUGGAUCUGCAGGCCUUGGAUCUUGGUGGUCCGGCUCCUGCACCAUGUUAAUGAUGGUUCACAAGUAGGUUCCCGGGUGGGGGAGGUUAUUAUUGGUAGGAUGUUGCUUUACUCGCAGGAGAUACCAGAACCAGAAGGCAUGGUCUCACAACAAGGAGUUGCUCCUUUAAAACUGAGAUAAGGGAAACAUUCUUACAAGAGCUAAAAGUCUUUGGAACUCCUUGGGGGAAGAAUCGUCAGCUAUGGGGUGUUGCACUUUGAGAGGUUUCAUGCAAGGGGAAAAUAUACAAUUAAUGACAAAACCCUCAUCGGCAGUGUUGUGUAGAGAGAUCUUGGGGUCCAAGUCCAUAACUCCCUGAAAAUGGCAACACAAGUAGAUCGAGUGGUCAAGAAAGUGUAUGCUUACCUUCAUUGGUGGGGACAUUGAGUAUAGGAGUCAGGAAGUCAUGAUGCAGCUUUGUAGGAUUUUGGUUUGACUGCUUUAGGAGUAUUACGUGCAGUUCUAGUUGCAUGAACACAGUGCAGAGGAGGUUUACUGGAAUGAUGCCUGGAUUAGGGAGACCUGUAGAAAUAUCUAAAACUAGACGAAGUGAGACCCGUUGGGUCCCAGCAUCACACGGGAGGGCUGGAUUCCAGAGAACUAGUAUUGAAAUUGUGGGCCGAAUGGAUUAUGUGCUGGCAGCUCACUCACGGCUGGUGGGCUGGCAGUUGACUCACAGCUAUUCCUUGAAAUUCCAUUUCAAGCAGGGUGCGAGGCCACCAAAUUCAAGUGCAGUUUCUUACCACUUCAAGCAGGGUGCAAGGCCACCAAAUUCAAGUGCAGUUUCUUACCACUUCAAGCAGGGUGCAAGGCCACCAAAUUCAAGUGCAGUUUCAUACCAUUUCAAGCAGGGUGCAAGGCCACUAACGACAGCGAGUCGUGAUCUCUCCCUCCUCCAUCUUGCAGAGACUGAGCCAAGCCCACACUUCUGGGUUUUAUAGUCCCUCCCCCCUCCCACCAGAAGGGGCAUGGCCUUCAUAGCGUGAUUGACAGGAGAGAGAAUCUCAACAUUUUUAAAACACUAAUAACUCUUUUAUUUUUCAUCAAUGGGAAAAAUCCUCGGCACCUGAUGAGCGGAGGGGGACUCUGAGUAAGAUGGCCAAAAAUCGCAGCCGUAUGUGGUAGCGUUUUUUCUAAAAUCAAUAUAAAGCGCAAACAGGGAGUGGUCAAGAUUAGACUUUUAAUUAUAUAGAAGGCAAGGCAACUUUAAUUGGGCACGGCAACUUUAACUGGGCACGGCAACUUUAACUGGGCACGGCAACUUUAACUGGGCACUGCAACUUUAACUGGGCACUGCAACUUUAAUUGGGCACCGCAACUUUAAUUGGGCAAGACAACUUUAAUUGGGCAAGACAACUUUAAUUAGGCAACACAGCUUCAGCAUUUCCAAACCAAAGGCAAUACAGCUUUAGCAUUUCCAAACCAAAGGCAACACAGCUUUAGCAUUUCCAAACCAAAGGCAUCAUAGCUUUAGCAUUUCCAAACUGUAGUUUCAAACCACAUCAAGGCACUGACAGGUCAGUAAAACCACUCACAGUUUAGUAAACAUGUGUUCAGUGUUUUUCACAGCUCAGACUGAGAGACGUGACCCUCUCGCUCCCCCAUCUUGCAGAGUGACUGAGGCACUCAACACUUCCGGGUUUUAUAGUCCCUCCGGAAGGGGCGUGGCCUUCAGGAGAAAGAAUUUCAACAUUUUUUCAACACUAAUAACUUUUAUUUUUUAUCGAUGGGAAAAAUCCUCUUGUCCUGCGCAGCAGAGUAAGAUGGCCAAACAUCACAGCCGUAAGUGGCAGCGUUUUUUCUAAAAUUAAUAUACAGAACAACAGGAAGUGGCCAAGAUCAGACUUUUAGUAAUAUAGAUUAUAAGAGGCUAGACAGUCAGAACUUUUUUUUUCUGGUGGAAAUAUGAAAUACUAGAAGCCAUAGCUUUGAGAUGAGAGGGGCAAAGUUUAAAGGCGAUGUGUGGGGCAAGUUUGUUUUUACACACAGGGCAGUGAGUGUCGAGAACACACUGCCAGGCUGGUGGUUGAGACAAAUACGCUAGUGGCUUUUACAGGCACAUGGACAUGUAGGGAAUGGAGUGACAUGGAUCGUGUACAAGCGGACAAGAGUUGGUCCUGGCGUCAUGUUCGGCACAGACAUAGUGGACCGAAGGGCCUGUUCCUGUACUGUACUAUGUAUAUUUCUAAUUUAGUAAGCAAACAUGGAGAAAUAGCAGGAAAGUGGAUGUAGAAUUUUAAAUCAGCCAUGAAUCUAGAACUUUGAGCACGAUCAAAGUGCUGACUGGUCAUUACUGUAUCUACUUCAAAUGAUACAACCGCCUUAAACCAUUGUAUAACCAUUAUAUGUUAUAUGGUUAUACAACCGCCUUAAACCUGCACAUUACACAUGGUUCUCUUACCCUAAUCAUUGAUGUAAACUGGGGCCCAGAACUGAUCCCUGCAGCACUCCACUGGUCAGGGCCGGCCUUAGAAGUUGCGGGGCCCAAUUGGAAACAAUUUUGGUGAACCCCAGGUUCCCAGCCAAGGUCUGUAGAAUCGUAGGAGUAUAAAUAUAUAAUUACAAUUGAGUCGUACUCAGGCACAUGCGGUGAGUAAUUACUCAGGGAAGGCAGUCGGUUGGCUUAUAAAAAAUCUUAAACCGCGCAUGCGCAGAUUGUUC